UGCAGUCGAGCGGUAACAUUUCAAAGCUUGCUUUGAAGAUGACGAGCGGCGGACGGGUGAGUAAUGCUUGGGAAUAUGCCUUAUGGUGGGGGACAACAGUUGGAAACGACUGCUAAUACCGCAUAAUGUCUACGGACCAAAGGGGGGGAUCUUCGGACCUCUCGCCAUUUGAUUAGCCCAAGUGAGAUUAGCUAGUUGGUGAGGUAAUGGCUCACCAAGGCGACGAUCUCUAGCUGGUUUGAGAGGAUGAUCAGCAACACUGGGACUGAGACACGGCCCAGACUCCUACGGGAGGCAGCAGUGGGGAAUCUUAGACAAUGGGCGCAAGCCUGAUCUAGCCAUGCCGCGUGUGUGAUGAAGGCCUUAGGGUCGUAAAGCACUUUCGCCAGAGAUGAUAAUGACAGUAUCUGGUAAAGAAACCCCGGCUAACUCCGUGCCAGCAGCCGCGGUAAUACGGAGGGGGUUAGCGUUGUUCGGAAUUACUGGGCGUAAAGCGUACGUAGGCGGAUCAGAAAGUAGGGGGUGAAAUCCCGAGGCUCAGCCUCGGAACUGCCUCCUAAACUCCUGGUCUUGAGUUCGAGAGAGGUGAGUGGAAUUCCAAGUGUAGAGGUGAAAUUCGUAGAUAU
rnacentral:rRNA from 1 species